GACGAACGCUGGCGACGCGCUUAACACAUGCAAGUCGAACGGAAAGGCCUGCUUUCCCUUGUGGAUUGCGGGUACUCGAGUGGCGAACGGGUGAGUAACACGUGAGUGAUCUGCCCCCAACUUGGGUAUAAGCCUGGGAAACUGGGUCUAAUUCCCGAUAGGACUGCAGGGUGGUGCCUGUGGUGGAAAACGAUUUUCUAGUGGUUGGGGAUGAGCUCGCGGCCUAUCAGCUUGUUGGUGGGGUAAUGGCCUACCAAGGCGGCGACGGGUAGCCGGCCUGAGAGGGUGGACGGCCACAUUGGGACUGAGAUACGGCCCAGACUCCUACGGGAGGCAGCAGUGGGGAAUAUUGCACAAUGGGCGGAAGCCUGAUGCAGCGACGCCGCGUGGGGGGUGACGGCCUUCGGGUUGUAAACUCCUUUCGACCGCGAGGAAGCCACCUGGUUGGAAGGGUGGUGACGGUAGUGGUAGAAGAAGCACCGGCUAACUACGUG
rnacentral:rRNA from 1 species